rnacentral:rRNA from 1 species
CACCGCGGUUAUACGAGAGGCUCAAGUUGAUGAACCCCGGCGUAAAGAGUGGUUAAGAGAGAUCAAAACUAAAGCCGAAUGCUUUCAAAGCUGUUAUACGCUUCCGAAAGUAAGAAGCCCAAUCACGAAAGUGGCUUUACUUUACCUGACCCCACGAAAGCUACGACACAAACUGGGAUUAGAUACCCCACUAUGCCUAGCCUUAAACAUUGGCAACACUUUACACCUGCUGCCCGCCAGGAAACUACGAGCAUUAGCUUAAAACCCAAAGGACUUGGCGGUGCUUUAGACCCACCUAGAGGAGCCUGUUCUAGAACCGAUAACCCCCGUUCAACCUCACCCUUCCUUGUUUUUUCCGCCUAUAUACCACCGUCGUCAGCUUACCCUGUGAAGGCCUUAUAGUAAGCAAAAUUGGCACAGCCCAGAACGUCAGGUCGAGGUGUAGCGAAUGGAAGGGGAAGAAAUGGGCUACAUUCUUUAAUAAAAAGAAUACGAAUGACUGACUGAAACGUCUUUCCGAAGGAGGAUUUAGCAGUAAGCAGGAAAUAGAGUGUUCUGCUGAAAUUGGCCCUGAAGCGCGCACACACCGCCCGUCACUCUCCCCGAGCUCACGAACUUUUAAUAAAUAAAAUCCCGCCACUGCAAAGGGGAGGCAAGUCGUAACAUGGUAAGUGUACCGGAAGGUGUACUUGGAAAAAUCAGGGUGUAGCUAAG